rnacentral:rRNA from 1 species
UUCGGAUUGCAGUCUGCAACUCGAGUGCAUGAAGCUGGAAUCGCUAGUAAUCGCGGAUCAGAAUGCCGCGGUGAAUACGUUCCCGGGUCUUGUACACACCGCCCGUCACACCAUGGGAGUCGGGAAUGCCCGAAGCCGGUGGCCCGAUCGAGAGAAGGGAGCCGUCGAAGGCAGGCCGGAUGACUGGGGUGAAGUCGUAACAAGGUAGC